rnacentral:rRNA from 1 species
UACGUAGGGUGCAGGCGUUAAUCGGAAUUACUGGGCGUAAAGCGUGCGCAGGCGGUCUUUUAAGUCAGAUGUGAAAUCCCCGGGCUUAACCUGGGAACUGCGUUUGAAACUGGAAGGCUUGAGUGUGGCAGAGGGGGGUGGAAUUCCACGUGUAGCAGUGAAAUGCGUAGAGAUGAUGGAGGAACACCGAUGGCGAAGGCAGCCCCCUGGGCUAACACUGACGCCUCAUGCACGAAAGCGUGGGGAGCAAACAGG